AAAAAUAUUCAUUAAAUAAUAUCAAAUAUGAAAAUCUUCUAUUGAUUAAAUACCUCUGAUUAGUUACAUAAUUUAAAUUUUAUGCUUGUAUGUUAUUUUUAAUGUAUUUUUUAAUAUUUAUAUGUAGAAGUUAGCAUCAAACACCUCUUUUGCAUAUUUAAAUUGCUCAAAGAUAAGGUUAAAUAGAUACAUUAAUAUUUGAUU
rnacentral:lncRNA from 1 species